rnacentral:rRNA from 1 species
CCCGCUGAACUUAAGCAUAUCAAUAAGCGGAGGAAAAGAAACUAACAAGGAUUCCCUCAGUAACGGCGAGUGAAGCGGGAAGAGCUCAAAUUUAAAAUCUGGCUUACUUGUAAGUCCGAGUUGUAGUCUGAAGAAACGUUUUCAAUAAGCUCUGAGCCACAGGUCCCUUGCAACAGGUCAUCAUAAAGGGUGAGAAUCCCGUCGAUCUUCUUAUAUCUAUACAUAUGUCCGAUACGUUUUCAAAGAGUCGGAUAGUUUGGGAAUGCUGUCCAAAAUGGGUGGUAAAUACCAUCUAAAGCUAAAUAUUGGCGAGAGACCGAUAGCGAACAAGUACCGUGAGGGAAAGAUGAAAAGAACUUUGAAAAGAGAGUUAAAAGUACGUGAAAUUGUCAAAAGGGAAACGCUUGAGACCAGCAUUGCGCCUAACGACAAAUCAGCCCUUCUUUGUGUGCACUUUGCGUUGCAUGGGUCAGCAUCAAUUCGGAUCAGAGUAAGAAGCACUGUGGAAGGAGACCCUCUGCGUGUGUAUAGCCGCAGCAGCCAUGCUCUGGCCCGGAUCGAGGACUGCCGCUCUACAUGUGGGCAGGAAGACGUCUCUAACCGCUUGUCUAGCAACAACUUGUUGAUUGCAGUAUGAGUCGAGCAGCACCGGUGUCCUUACUACUCUGAGCUUGGGAUGCUGACGAAAUGGGUUUUAACUACCCGUCUUGAAACACGG